GACGAACGCUGGCGGCGUGCUUAACACAUGCAAGUCGAACGGAAAGGCCCUGCUUUUGUGGGGUGCUCGAGUGGAGAAAGGGUGAGUAAAAAGUGAGUAACCUGCCCUUGACUUUGGGAUAACUUCAGGAAAAUGGGGCUCAUACAGGAUAGGAGCUCCUGCAGCAUGGUGGGGGUGGGAAAGUUUCGGCGGUUGGGGAUGGACUCGCGGCUUAUCAGCUUGUUGGUGGGGUAGUGGCUUAACAAGGCUUUGACGGGUAGCCGGCCUGAGAGGGUGACCGGCCACAUUGGGACUGAGGUACGGCCCAGACUCCUACGGGAGGCAGCAGUGGGGAAUAGUGCACAAUGGGCGGAAGCCUGAUGCAGCAACGCCGCGUGCGGGAUGACGGCCUUCGGGUUGUAAACCGCUUUCGCCUGUGACGAAGCGUGAGUGACGGUAAUGGGUAAAGAAGCACCGGCUAACUACGUG
rnacentral:rRNA from 1 species